rnacentral:misc_RNA from 1 species
ACAGAACCACAGAACUACCGACUACAAACAUCAAGGGCAUAGUCACAAAACAUCUCAUUACCAUCUUAGCUAACUGGACUAUCUUACAAAUGGGGGUAAUAUGAAGUACAAUAUGAUAAACAACCAGUCACCAGAAUAACAGAAUCUGCUUCUGAUGUAUGAACAACUCCCCACUCUGGUAACGAUCUCAUCUUUUUCCAACUGAUUUUUCUCCUACUCUUCCAG